ACACAUUCGACGGGACUGCCAGACGCCACGUUGUAGUGUGUGCCGGGUGUUCGGACACGAAACCAAUGAUUGUGCAAGGAGCUACGCUAGAGUAACCAAAACGGUUCUCCCUACAGAACAAGACCAAGAGAAUAUUAUGGACGCGGAGGAGGCCGAAAAGUCUGCCCCGAACAGCAACAGCAAGGAACGCGAAGACAAGGCCCGGGAGACGGACGCCGAGAAAGCUGGAGGGACGACACCUGACAGCCGCGAUUUGAGGAAGGCAGCGGAGGUACGUGCCGAAAUAGGCGACACGCAAGAGCUAUUGCCCUUAAGUCAAGCAAGUGAAGAGGAAGACAUGGGCGACAGCACCAAGAUCACUACGGCCGAAGAUUAAGCAGACGCUACGGGGGCGACCGCGGCACGCGGGAAGCGUCCCAGAACAGGCAUUCCGAAGUUGACAGAGGACAGCACCGAACGCAAGGUCAAACGCCUGGAGCGUCAGUGGCACCGCGUUGCUGGCGCCAAGGGUAAAAAAUAUGUCCCCGAAGUCCGGUCGGCGUCUUCGUCGCCGGUUCGGGGUCAGGGACGCGACAAGCAAUACCCCGGUAUUCCCACUGCAGGGUAGAGCCACGUUUGAAAUGUCCGUACACCAGGGAGAAAUGUCCGUGAGAUUUGCAGACCGCACCAAAACAAGAGAUGCUCUUAGGAACUCUCAACCCAUUUCUGCUAAUACAACGAGUGUGACCUUAGAGAACACCAACAUCCAAGCGGAUACGGUCACCAUAAACGUAACAGUUAACACGCCGCCAGAAACCGCUACACCGACUUCCACGCUGGUGGCCACCUUCGGGCCCCAGGUAGCCGAACAAGCUGGAAGAUUCAUGACCUGGCUGGUCAACUUAAUGCGGUGUUCUCGCAACCCUGAAGUGCAGCAAUGAAUAGGUUCGAAAUGUCCGUAAACCAGGGAGAGAUGUCCGUGAGAUUUGCAGACCGCAUCAGAACAAGAGAUGCACUCAGAAACUCUCAGCCUAUUUCAGCUAAUACAACGAAUGUGACCUUGGAAAACACCAACAUCCAAGCGGACACGGUCACCAUAAACGUAACAGUUAACACGCCGCCAGAAACCGCUACACCGACUUCCACGCUGGUGGCCACCUUCGGGCCCCAGGUAGCCGAACAAGCUGGAAGGUUCAUGACCUGGCUGGUCAACUUAAUGCAGUGUUCUCGCAACCCUGAGGUGCAGCAAUGAAUAGGACCCUGCGCUGAACCAAGCGGCCAAUGUGCUACGGCUGCUCUAUGCCCAGGACUUGUGUGACCUGCAGACUAGCAUACACGAAUCCAUCGUGGCCGUGUAGGCCAUCACGGCAAACCCAAAGACCGACACCCAGCUGGGAAAAGUGGGCCGCAAGACGCAUCCACCACCGCCAUAGUCCAGGGCCUGCUCUCUGUCUCCAAUGGACAGAUCUCUCUGUGUGUGUGUGUGUGUGUGUGUGUGUGUGUGUGUGUGUGCGUGUGUGCGAACUGUGCGCGGAUCCUGUUCAGUGUUGUGCAUAAAG